rnacentral:rRNA from 1 species
UACGUAGGGUGCGAGCGUUGUCCGGAUUUAUUGGGCGUAAAGAGCUCGUAGGCGGUUCGUCGCGUCGUAUGUGAAAACCCGAGGCUCCAACCUCGGGCCUGCAUUCGAUACGGGGCGAGCUAGAGUUCGGUAGGGGGAGACUGGAAUUCCUGGUGUAGCGGUGAAAUGCGCAGAUAUCAGGAGGAACACCGAUGGCGAAGG